GACGAACCGAGCGAACGUUGUUCGGAAUCACUGGGCUUAAAGGGCGCGUAGGCGGGCUAUCAAGUCUGGGGUGAAGUGCCACGGCUCAACCGUGGAACUGCCUCAGAUACUGACGGCCUCGAGGGAGGUAGGGGCAUGCGGAACUGUAGGUGGAGCGGUGAAAUGCGUUGAUAUCUACAGGAACUCCGGUGGCGAAAGCGGCGUGCUGGACCUCUUCUGACGCUGAGGCACGAAAGCGUGGGGAGCAAACAGG
rnacentral:rRNA from 1 species